rnacentral:rRNA from 1 species
UACGAAGGGGGCUAGCGUUGUUCGGAAUCACUGGGCGUAAAGCGCACGUAGGCGGAUCUUUAAGUCAGGGGUGAAAUCCCGAGGCUCAACCUCGGAACUGCCUUUGAUACUGGGGAUCUCGAGUCCGGGAGAGGUGAGUGGAACUGCGAGUGUAGAGGUGAAAUUCGUAGAUAUCGAGAGGAACACCGGUGGCGAAGGCGGCCAACUGGACGAAUACUGACGCUGAGACUCGAAAGCGUGGGGAGCAAACAGG